GAUGAACGCUGGCGGCGUGCCUAAUACAUGCAAGUCGAGCGAACGGACGAGAAGCUUGCUUCUCUGAUGUUAGCGGCGGACGGGUGAGUAACACGUGGAUAACCUACCUAUAAGACUUGGAUAACUUCGGGAAACCGGAGCUAAUACCGGAUAAUAUUUUGAACCGCAUGGUUCAAAAGUGAAAGACGGUCUUGCUGUCACUUAUAGAUGGAUCCGCGCUGCAUUAGCUAGUUGGUAAGGUAACGGCUUACCAAGGCAACGAUGCAUAGCCGACCUGAGAGGGUGCACGGCGACACUGAUAAUGAGACACGGUCCAGACUCCUACGGGAGGCAGCAGUAGGGAAUCUUCCGCAAUGGGCGGAAGCCUGACGGAGCAACGCGGCGUGAGUGAUGAGGGUCUUCGGAGCGUAAAACUCUGUUAUUAGGGAAGAACAUAUGUGUAAGUAACUGUGCACAUCUUGACGGUACCUAAUCAGAAAGCCACGGCUAACUACGUG
rnacentral:rRNA from 1 species